CUAGAUCAAUGUAUCUCUCCACCCUAAUUGAAGACAACAGAAAUAAUCCUAGAUUCUUAUUUAAUACUGUAGC